UUCAACGGCGGGCCGGGUGGGGAGACCUUCGGGUCUACCGGGUCCAUGUGCCGGUUCGCCAGCCCUGCCUUGGCUUGCCACCCGU
rnacentral:antisense_RNA from 1 species